UGGGGAAUAUUGGACAAUGGGCGAAAGCCUGAUCCAGCCAUGCCGCGUGUGUGAAGAAGGUCUUCGGAUGGUAAAGCACUUUAAGUUGGGAGGAAGGGCAGUAAGCGAAUACCUUGCUGUUUUGACGCUACCGACAGAAUAAGCACCGGCUAACUCUGUGCCAGCAGCCGCGGUAAUACAGAGGGUGCAAGCGUUAAUCGGAAUUACUGGGCGUAAAGCGCGCGUAGGUGGUUCGUUAAGUUGAAUGUGAAAGCCCCGGGCUCAACCUGGGAACUGCAUCCAAAACUGGCGAGCUAGAGUAGGGCAGAGGGUGGUGGAAUUACCUGUGUAGCGGUGAAAUGCGUAGGUAUAGGAAGGAACACCAGUGGCGAAGGCGACCACCUGGGCUCAUACUGACACUGAGGUGCGAAAGCGUGGGGAGCAAACAGG
rnacentral:rRNA from 1 species